rnacentral:rRNA from 1 species
AGAGUUUGAUCAUGGCUCAGGAUGAACGCUGGCGGCGUGCCUAACACAUGCAAGUCGAACGAACCUUCGGGUUAGUGGCGGACGGGUGAGUAACGCGUGAGAAUCUGCCCUCAGGAGGGGGAUAACGGUUGGAAACGACCGCUAAUACCCCAUAUGCCUAAUGGUGAAAUGAAUUUCGCCUGAGGAUGAGCUCGCGUCUGAUUAGCUAGUUGGUGAGGUAAUGGCUUACCAAGGCUUCGAUCAGUAGCUGGUCUGAGAGGAUGAUCAGCCACACUGGGACUGAGACACGGCCCAGACUCCUACGGGAGGCAGCAGUGGGGAAUUUUCCGCAAUGGGCGAAAGCCUGACGGAGCAACGCCGCGUGAGGGACGAAGGCCUCUGGGCUGUAAACCUCUUUUCUCAAGGAAGAAGAUAUGACGGUACUUGAGGAAUAAGCCACGGCUAAUUCCGUGCCAGCAGCCGCGGUAAUACGGGAGUGGCAAGCGUUAUCCGGAAUUAUUGGGCGUAAAGCGUCCGCAGGCGGCUUUUCAAGUCUGCUGUUAAAGCGUGGAGCUUAACUCCAUCAUGGCAGUGGAAACUGAAAGGCUUGAGUAUGGUAGGGGCAGAGGGAAUUCCCGGUGUAGCGGUGAAAUGCGUAGAUAUCGGGAAGAACACCAGUGGCGAAGGCGCUCUGCUGGGCCAUUACUGACGCUCAUGGACGAAAGCCAGGGGAGCGAAAGGGAUUAGAUACCCCUGUAGUCCUGGCCGUAAACGAUGAACACUAGGUGUCGGGGGAAUCGACCCCUUCGGUGUCGUAGCUAACGCGUUAAGUGUUCCGCCUGGGGAGUACGCACGCAAGUGUGAAACUCAAAGGAAUUGACGGGGGCCCGCACAAGCGGUGGAGUAUGUGGUUUAAUUCGAUGCAACGCGAAGAACCUUACCAGGGUUUGACAUCCUGCGAACCUCUUAGAAAUUUGAGGGUGCCUUCGGGAAUGCAGUGACAGGUGGUGCAUGGCUGUCGUCAGCUCGUGUCGUGAGAUGUUGGGUUAAGUCCCGCAACGAGCGCAACCCACGUUUUUAGUUGCCAGCAUUUAGUUGGGCACUCUAGAAAGACCGCCGGUGAUAAACCGGAGGAAGGUGUGGAUGACGUCAAGUCAUCAUGCCCCUUACACCCUGGGCUACACACGUACUACAAUGCUACGGACAAAGGGCAGCAAACUCGCGAGAGCUAGCAAAUCCCAUAAACCGUGGCUCAGUUCAGAUCGUAGGCUGCAACUCGCCUACGUGAAGUAGGAAUCGCUAGUAAUCGCAGGUCAGCAUACUGCGGUGAAUACGUUCCCGGGCCUUGUACACACCGCCCGUCACACCAUGGAAGUUGGCCAUGCCCGAAGUCGUUACUCCAACCCUUGUGGAGGAGGACGCCGAAGGUGGGGCUAAUGACUGGGGUGAAGUCGUAACAAGGUAGCCGUA